AAUUUUUUUUUUUUUUUUUGCUUUAACACCACAGAGUUUACAGCUACUACAGCAGCUAUAAGAAACAAGGAAGAUGAAAACAUGGAAAGAAGAGGUUCAAGAAAUCCUCCCACCUCAGCCUCCCGAGUAGCUGAGACUACAGGCAUGCACCACCCCACCCAGAGCAAACACUCCUGGAAACACAUUCCUUGUGGUAACCUGAAACCCUCCAUGUGGGCAAGAUUCUGAUUGAUUUCAGCAGAACAAAGAGACAAUUUCAUCUCAUUUGAAACCCAGAUGAAGUGCUCCAUAUUUCAUUUUAAAUUGGGAGUGAUAAUGGUUGGGUGGUCAGUACUUCAAGAGAAGAGGGGGAAAAGCCCAACAAUAUUGAGCAGUGCUAGUGUACAGUGGCUACUUUUCUGGGCUGGAACUGGUUAACUAAGAAUUGAAAAGUCACCCUCUGGUAGCCUGAACAGGAACCUUCAGUCUGCAAACACUUAUUCCCAUCAACACUGCUCCAAGGAGGUGCCGAAACGCUGGGUGCCUCAUUCUGAUCUUGUGUCUGUCCUGGUAUGAAUUAACAGAGGGGAACAGGAAAUGGAUCGACACUGUUCAUAAGUAAGGAGGCCAAGCAGGAGUGGGGGUCCUUCUGCUUUCAAUCAAGAGAGAGGGUACAAUCUGAGGCGUCAUCAGUGCAUCUCAACCAUCGGUAAACCCAGGUUUCUGCAGGGAGCUGGGAUUCUUUAUGGAUGGAAUUACAUACUUUGUGAGUGAGAAUUAUUUCUUGUAUAGAAUACCCAUUCACUUACAGCAAAAAUGUGGGUGGAGGGAAACAAAUGGGACUGAUAAAUUUGGCAUUGGCCCAACAGAGAAAUCAUUAUUAUCAACAUCAUUUUUAUUAAUAUUAUUUAAUAGCAAUUUUGUUUCCAAUUGCCAAUUUGGAAGACCCAGAGAAAGAUACAAAAUCAUUGCCUUUCAUGGAGAUGUUUAGAAUCCAGGAACUUAGAAGAAAUUUAUUCUCUGCCACUGGAUUGUUUGUCUUGUAAUAAACGCUG